rnacentral:rRNA from 1 species
UACGUAGGUGGCAAGCGUUGUCCGGAUUUACUGGGCGUAAAGGGCGCGUAGGCGGUUUGACAAGUCUGAUGUGAAAUCUCUGGGCUCAACCCAGAGUCUGCAUUAGAAACUGUCGGGCUUGAGUAUGGGAGAGGUGAGUGGAAUUUCCGGUGUAGCGGUGAAAUGCGUAGAUAUCGGAAGGAACACCUGUGGCGAAAGCGGCUCACUGGACCAUAACUGACGCUGAGGCGCGAAAGCUAGGGGAGCAAACAGG